CUACGGGGGGCUCCAGUGGGGAAUAUUGCACAAUGGAGGAAACUCUGAUGCAGCAACGCCGCGUGGAGAAUGACACUUUUCGGAGCGUAAACUCCUUUUAUAUAGGAAGAAGAUGACGGUACUAUAUGAAUAAGCGCCGGCUAACUCCGUGCCAGCAGCCGCGGUAAUACGGAGGGCGCAAGCGUUACUCGGAAUCACUGGGCGUAAAGAGCGUGUAGGCGGAUUAAAAAGUCAGAAGUGAAAUCCUAUAGCUUAACUAUAGAACUGCUUCUGAAACUCUUAAUCUAGAAUAUGGGAGAGGUAGAUGGAAUUUCUGGUGUAAGGGUAAAAUCCGUAGAGAUCAGAAGGAAUACCGAUUGCGAAGGCGAUCUACUAGAACAUUAUUGACGCUGAGACGCGAAAGCGUGGGGAGCAAACAGGAUUAGAUACCCCUGUAGUC
rnacentral:rRNA from 1 species